rnacentral:tRNA from 1 species
AGAAAUAAAUUAAAUGAACUUCUAAUUCAUUAUAUUAUGAUUUCCAUCAUAUUAUUUCUU